rnacentral:rRNA from 1 species
UACGGGGGGAGCAAGCGUUGUUCGGAUUUACUGGGCGUAAAGGGCGCGUAGGCGGUCAGCACAAGUCAGUUGUGAAAUCUCCGGGCUUAACUCGGAAAGGUCAACUGAUACUGUGCGACUAGAGUGCGGAAGGGGCAACUGGAAUUCUCGGUGUAGCGGUGAAAUGCGUAGAUAUCGAGAGGAACACCAGCGGCGAAGGCGCUUUUCUGGGACAUUACUGACGCUAAAUUGCGAAAGCUAGGGGAGCAAACAGA